CCUACGGGCGGCAGCAGUGGGGAAUAUUGCUCAAUGGGGGCAACCCUGAUCCAGCGACGUCGCGUGAGUGAUGACGUCUCUCGGUAUGUUAAGCUCUAUCAGCAGGGAAGAAAAUUACGGUACCUGUUCCAGAAGCCCCGGCUAACUACGUGCCAGCAGCCGCGGUAAUACGUAGGGGGCAAGCGUUAUCCGGAUUUACUGGGUGUAAAGGGAGCGUAGACGGCAGCACAAGUCUGGAGUGAAAUGCCGGGGCUUAACCCCGGAACUGCAUUGGAAACUGUGCGGCUAGAGUGCAGGAGAGGUAAGUGGAAUUCCUAGUGUAGCGGUGAAAUGCGUAGAUAUUACGAAGAACACCAGUGGCGAAGGCAGCUUACUGGACUGUAACUGACGUUGAGGCUCGAAAGCGUGGGGAGCAAACAGGAUUAGAUACCCCAGUAGUC
rnacentral:rRNA from 1 species